GUUGUAGGAGUCGAAAAUAGAUUCGAUUCCUCGAUUUGUUUUGUUGAAAACGUUCUCGAUUUUAGAAGGGGGGGAGGGACACCAGCUGACUUUUUUUUAAAUGAUUUGCAAAAAAUUCCGGAAAUUUGUUUGGAGUAAUCGUUGUGAUGGUUAUUUCUAAUUAAACUUACGCGAUUAGGUAAUGACCAAUGUCGAGACCAAUGUAGAAAAUACAAUACUAACAUCAGACGACCAUAACAUAUCAGCGCAAGAAGGUGAUCCCAAAAAACUGCAGUCAGUGGAUUAUGAUGAAAGUUCUUUAGUUGAAAGUCCUGCUGAUGAUUCGGAUCUAGAUUCGAACUAUAUGCCUAAAGAUGAAACUUGACGAAUAAAAAGAAAGAGAGAAUUCCAUGAUUGUAUACCUUCCCAUUUUGAUUCAGACCACUGGACGCAGAAGCGGACAGGCUCAGGCAAAGAGGUUACUCAGUAUGGCACACGGCAACCAAACGAUCCAAGAUGUGGGCAUGGUGGAGGACGAACAACAGGGCAGACAACUCAUGCUAAACCUGAGCCUGGAAACAACAAAUUUACAGGCAAGCAUAAUAGGAAUACAAACCUGUGUCCAACUGAUGAGAGAAGGACUGGCAAGAGGCAAAACCUUCGCAAUUUUCACAGGAGACCAGGCUGCAACACUUGCACUAUAACAGUUCGAGACUAAGUCAAGGACUGUGCAAAGCUGCUAAGUAAAAUUAAUAAAUUAUAGAAAAAAUUAAUUCAGAAAGUCUAAGUGCCUCGACUGCCUUAGCUCAAAUAAGUUUUUACUGAUGAGGCCUAAUGAUCCAAAACUUUUACAAUCAGUAGUCAAUAUACUAAGCUAGCUCUCCUAUAAAUUACGCUGUUUUAGCUUAAUUAGCUUUUGAGUUAUUUAAUCUUAAACUUCAAAAAGUAAAAUUAAUAAAUUAUUAAGAAAGUAUAGGUGCCUCGACUGCCUUGGCUCAAAUAAUUUUGCACUGAUGGGGCCUAAUGAUUCGAAACUUUCACAAUCAGUAGUCAGUAUACUAAGCUAGCUCUCCUAUAAAUUACGCUGUUCUAGCUUAAUUAGCUUUUGAGUUAUGUAAUCUUAAACUUCAAAAAGUAAAAUUAAUAAAUUAUUAAGAAAGUAUAGGUGCCUCGACUGCCUUGGCUCAAAUAAUUUUGCACUGAUGAGGCCUAAUGAUCCGAAACUUUUACAAUCAGUAGUCAAUAUACCACGUUAGCUUUUCUAUAAAUUACGCUGUUUUAGCUUAAUUAGCUUUUGAGUUAUUUAAUCUUAAACUUCAAAAAGUAAAAUUAAUAAAUUAUUAAGAAAGUAUAGGUGCCUCGACUGCCUUGGCUCAAAUAAUUUUGCACUGAUGAGGCCUAAUGAUUCGAAACUUUCACAAUCAGUAGUCAGUAUACUAAGCUAGCUCUCCUAUAAAUUACGCUGUUCUAGCUUAAUUAGCUUUUGAGUUAUGUAAUCUUAAACUUCAAAAAGUAAAAUUAAUAAAUUAUUAAGAAAGUAUAGGUGCCUCGACUGCCUUGGCUCAAAUAAUUUUGCACUGAUGAGGCCUAAUGAUCCGAAACUUUUACAAUCAGUAGUCAAUAUACCACGUUAGCUUUUCUAUAAAUUACGCUGUUUUAGCUUAAUUAGCUUUUGAGUUAUUUAAUCUUAAACUUCAAAAAGUAAAAUUAAUAAAUUAUUAAGAAAGUAUAGGUGCCUCGACUGCCUUGGCUCAAAUAAUUUUGCACUGAUGAGGCCUAAUGAUUCGAAACUUUCACAAUCAGUAGUCAAUAUACUAAGCUAGCUCUCCUAUAAAUUUCGCUGUUCUAGCUUAAUUAGUUCUUGAUUUAUUCAAGCUUAAACUUUAAAAAGCAAAAUUAUUAUUAAAAUACAGAAAAAAAUUAAUUCAGAAAGUCUAAGUGCCUCGACUGCCUUGGCUCAAAUAACUUUGCACUGAUGAGGCCUAAUGAUCCGAAACUUUUAGGAUCAAUAGUCAAUAUACCAAGCUAGCUCUCCUAUAAAUUACGCUGUUCUUUUAUAAAAAACGAUUUUUUUUUCAGUCAAUUAUUGUCUUCAAAAAAUUCGUUUUUUCAUUAAUUCUACCCUUGCCCCCCCGCCCACCCCACACAACUUACCAGUAAGAAAUUGUAUGCAAAAAUCAUUGUUUUCUUAAAUAAUACGCAUGGAUAACAGCCGCGUUUCGUUGUUAAUAUCCUAUCUAAUAACACAGUUUGUUUAUUUAAAUUUGAUAUAUAAUAUUUCGAAUUAUAAGAAAACCAGUUCUACAGUAACACCUUGGGAAGAGUAACGUGUGAUGUACACGUUACUCUUGAAAUAGAUAAUGAAAAUUUAUCUAGAACCAAAAAAAAACGAAAAUUUUAACCAAGUGUGUAUUAUGUAUAUGCGAGGUAAUAUCAGAUGUACUAUUGAAUAAGUAUGAAGUGUUAAUUUUACUUUAUUUUCUUUCAUAGUCUUAAUUUCACAAUUAUAAAUUCAGUGUUAUUGUAUUUCUUUUUCAAAUUGAGUUUACAGGUUAAAUUAGCUUGUCAAUUAUGACAUUGAUACGAAAGCUGGGUUUACCGAUGUAAAGGUGCCUUUUUAUUUUUCGUGCCCUGAUAAUAAACCCGAAAACCACAUUUAUACUCUUAAAAAUAAAUUUCUGCCAAGGACAAGCAGGCAUGGACAAAAUUCUCCGGGAUUCUAUCUGUCUAAAGCCGGACCUGUGCAACUUUUCACGCUUGAUUGGUUGCGACCUCUAACAAAAUAGUACGUGGACAUCUGAAGUCAAAUAUAUACAUUUAAAACACUUAUUUAUUUACUAGGAUGAUUAAAUAUCGCUUAGAAUAAAACUUUAAGACUCUAUCCACAUAAAAUUUUGCAAUUUAAACAUGCAUGCCAAGUGACAAUACGAGCAACACCGGCACACGGACUAUACGCGGCACAUCAAAGAUUCUAAUAGAUCUCUGAACUGGACUACAUUAUGUAUGAUACUCACAAUCGUAAAUUAUAUUUUGUUUGUUAAAUAAAAAACGUUUAUUAUUA